rnacentral:rRNA from 1 species
UGGUGUGAUCAUACCAGCUUUAAUGCACCGGAUCCCAUUAGAACUCCGCAGUUAAGCACGCUUGGGAUAGAUUAGUACUGGGAUGGGUGACCUCCCUGAAAGUCCUAGUGUUGCACCCU